rnacentral:rRNA from 1 species
CAAUAGCGUAUAUUAAAGUUGUUGCAGUUAAAAAGCUCGUAGUUGGAUAUGUGGUUUGCGGUGGGUUCCGGGCACUUGUUGUCCGAGUAACUUGCCGCUGCCAUCCUUGAGUGGAACCUGUGUGGCAUUAGGUUGUCGUGCAGGGGAUGCCCAUCGUUUACUGUGAAAAAAUUAGAGUGUUCAAAGCAGGCUUAUGCCGUUGAAUAUAUUAGCAUGGAAUAAUAAGAUAGGACUUUGUCGCUAUUUUGUUGGUUUGCGCGAUAAGGUAAUGAUUAAUAGGGACAGUUGGGGGUAUUCGUAUUCCAUUGUCAGAGGUGAAAUUCUUGGAUUUUUGGAAGACGAACUACUGCGAAAGCAUUUACCAAGGAUGUUUUCAUUAA